rnacentral:lncRNA from 1 species
UUCAAAUGCCUCUCAUGGAACUCAGCAUUUUGUUCUUUUGAGUUGGUGCCAUUCUGGAAAGUCAACGCACGGGCUGGUAUCAAGGGGUAUUACGGCAACUGUUAGAGUAUUCAAGGAAGCCUGGGAUGCUGUUUUCUUACCUACUGCUGAUCCUUCUACAAGCAAGGGCUUGCAACGUUGACAGCAAGGCAUGGGCAGUCAUACUGGAUUUCUGAACCACCAGACCAACCAAACUGUCAUAGGAGCACAGGCGGAACAGCUAAUUGGGAAAAAAUAAGGUGAUUUAAGAUACAUGACACUUCCUUUUCGCGCAGAAUGCACCAUGUCAUCAUCUCGGUAAGUUAUCUGCCACCUCUCAGUCAGUGGAGUUCAAUUCCUAUUUAAGCACGUGAAAAGUGCUUCCU